rnacentral:rRNA from 1 species
GGGCUAGCGUUGUUCGGAAUUACUGGGCGUAAAGCGCACGUAGGCGGAUAUUUAAGUCGGGGGUGAAAUCCCGGGGCUCAACCCCGGAACUGCCUUCGAUACUGGGUAUCUUGAGUUCGGAAGAGGUGAGUGGAAUUGCGAGUGUAGAGGUGAAAUUCGUAGAUAUUCGCAGGAACACCAGUGGCGAAGGCGGCUCACUGGUCCGAUACUGACGCUGAGGUGCGAAAGCGUGGGGAGCAAACAGG